GGGAUCGAUGAUGACCACUGGUGGCGUAUGAGUCAUGGAUGAUGAAUACGUGUCUGGAACGCUGAGGUCCCA
rnacentral:snoRNA from 1 species